AGUGAACGCUGGCGGUAUGCCUAACACAUGCAAGUCGAACGGCAGCACAGUAAGAUUUUGCUCUUACGGGUGGCGAGUGGCGGACGGGUGACGAAUACAUCGGAAUCUUCUUUUUCGUGGGGAAUAACGAAGGAAAGCUUCCGCUACUACAGAAUAUACCUAACGGUGGAAGGAAGGGGAUAUUCGCGCUUUUCGGGUUUGAUUUAGCGGGUGGCGGAUUAGCUAGUUGGGGGGGUAAGGGCCCACCAUGGCGACGAUCCGUAGCUGGUCUGAGAGGGUGAUCGGCCACACUGGAACUGAGACACGGUCCAGACUCCUACGGGAGGCAGCAGUGGGGAAUAUUGGACAAUGGGCGCAAGCCUGAUGCAGCCAUACCGCGUGGGUGAAGAAGGCCUUCGGAUUGUAAAACCCUUUUGUUGGGGAAGAAAAGCAGCAGGUUAAUACACGGCUGUUCUGACGGUACCCAAAGAAUAAGCACCGGCUAACUUCGUG
rnacentral:rRNA from 1 species